ACGAACGCUGGCGGCAGGCUUAACACAUGCAAGUCGAACGCACCGCAAGGUGAGUGGCAGACGGGUGAGUAACGCGUGGGAACGUACACUUCGGUUCGGAAUAGCUCCGGGAAACUGGAAUUAAUACCGGAUACGCCCUUAGGGGGAAAGAUUCAUCGCCGAAGGAUCGGCCCGCGUCAGAUUAGGUAGUUGGUAGGGUAACGGCCUACCAAGCCGAUGAUCUGUAGGUGGUCUGAGAGGAUGAUCACCCACACUGGGACUGAGACACGGCCCAGACUCCUACGGGAGGCAGCAGUGGGGAAUAUUGGACAAUGGGCGCAAGCCUGAUCCAGCCAUGCCGCGUGGAUGAAGAAGGCCCUAGGGUUGUAAAGUCCUUUCGGCGGGGAAGAUAAUGACGGUACCCGCAGAAGAAGCCCCGGCUAAUUUCGU
rnacentral:rRNA from 1 species